rnacentral:rRNA from 1 species
UACCAGCACCCCGAGUGGUCGGGACGUUUAUUGGGCCUAAAGCAUCCGUAGCCGGUUCUACAAGUCUUCCGUUAAAUCCACCUGCUUAACAGAUGGGCUGCGGAAGAUACUAUAGAGCUAGGAGGCGGGAGAGGCAAGCGGUACUCGAUGGGUAGGGGUAAAAUCCGUUGAUCCAUUGAAGACCACCAGUGGCGAAGGCGGCU